rnacentral:rRNA from 1 species
AACGAACGCUGGCGGCGCGCCUAAUACAUGCAAGUCGAGCGAGAAGACGUAGCAAUACGUUUGUAAAGCGGCGAACGGGUGAGGAAUACAUGGGUAACCUACCCUCGAGUGGGGAAUAACUAGCCGAAAGGUUAGCUAAUACCGCGUACGCUCCUUGGACUUCGGUUCAGGGAGGAAAGCGAUACCGUGGGUAUCGCGCUCUUGGAUGGGCUCAUGUCCUAUCAGCUCGUUGGGAGGUAACGGCUCACCAAGGCUUCGACGGGUAGCUGGUCUGAGAGGACAAUCAGCCACACUGGCACUGCGACACGGGCCAGACUCCUACGGGAGGCAGCAGUAAGGAAUAUUGCGCAAUGGGCGAAAGCCUGACGCAGCGACGCCGCGUGGGGGAUGAAGGUCUUCGGAUUGUAAACCCCUUUCGGGAGGGAAGAUGGAACGAGCAAUCGUUCGGACGGUACCUCCAGAAGCAGCCACGGCUAACUUCGUGCCAGCAGCCGCGGUAAU